rnacentral:rRNA from 1 species
UACAGAGGUCCCAAGCGUUGUUCGGAUUCACUGGGCGUAAAGGGUGCGUAGGCGGUCGGGUAAGUCUGAUGUGAAAUCUCACAGCUUAACUGUGAAACUGCAUUGGAUACUAUCCGGCUAGAGGAAUGGAGGGGAGACUGGAAUACUUGGUGUAGCAGUGAAAUGCGUAGAUAUCAAGUGGAACACCAGUGGCGAAGGCGAGUCUCUGGACAUUUCCUGACGCUGAGACACGAAAGCGUGGGGAGCAAACAGG